rnacentral:rRNA from 1 species
GACGAACGCUGGCGGUGUGCUUAACACAUGCAAGUCGAACGGUAAGGCCCUUUCGGGGGUACACGAGUGGCGCACGGGUGCGUAACACGUGAGUAACCUGCCCUCAUCUCUGGGAUAACAGUCGGAAACGGUUGCUAAUACUGGAUAUGAGCUUGCAAGGCAUCUUGUGGGUUGGAAAGAUUUUUUUGGUUGGGGAUGGACUCGCGGCCUAUCAGCUUGUUGGUGAGGUAGUGGCUCACCAAGGCUUCGACGGGUAGCCGGCCUGAGAGGGCGACCGGCCACAUUGGGACUGAGAUACGGCCCAAACUCCUACGGGAGGCAGCAGUGGGGAAUAUUGCACAAUGGACGGAAGUCUGAUGCAGCAACGCCGCGUGCGGGAUGACGGCCUUCGGGUUGUAAACCGCUUUCAAUUGUGACGAAGCUUUUUGUGACGGUAGCAGUAGAAGAAGCACCGGCUAACUACGUG